rnacentral:rRNA from 1 species
GAUGAACGCUAGCGGCAGGCCUAAUACAUGCAAGUCGAACGAGAUUAAGGGGCUUGCUCCUUAUGAAAGUGGCGCACGGGUGCGUAACGCGUAUGCAACCUACCUCAAUCAGGGGGAUAG